GACGAACGCUGGCGGCGUGCCUAAUACAUGCAAGUCGAGCGGACGAUUCGAAAGCUUGCUUUUGAAUCGUUAGCGGCGGACGGGUGAGUAACACGUGGGCAACCUGCCCUGUAGACGGGGAUAACACCGAGAAAUCGGUGCUAAUACCGGAUAACACGAAAUGUCGCAUGACGUUUCGUUGAAAGGCGGCGCAAGCUGCCGCUACAGGAUGGGCCCGCGGCGCCUUAGCUAGUUGGUGAGGUAACGGCUCACCAAGGCGACGAUGCGUAGCCGACCUGAGAGGGUGAUCGGCCACACGGGGACUGAGACACGGCCCAGACUCCUACGGGAGGCAGCAGUAGGGAAUCUUCCGCAAUGGACGAAAGUCUGACGGAGCAACGCCGCGUGAGCGAAGAAGGCCUUCGGGUCGUAAAGCUCUGUUGUUAGGGAAGAACAAGUAACGUAGUAACUGACGUUACUAUGACGGUACCUAACGAGAAAGCCACGGCUAACUACGUG
rnacentral:rRNA from 1 species